UCUUAACGAUCGAGUUUUUAUCUGUUACUUCGAAACUUUUUCAAACUGCAUCUACGGUUUUUUUUUUGUUUUUUUUUGUUGUUGUAGUCACCCUCUCUCGUAUUUAUCGUGCACACGUACUAGACAAAUUUAUUACGUAGAUGAUACACACACAUAAGCUGUGAUGGUAUGUGUUUAGAAUAUAAAGCUCACAUGCAUAAUCGUUCAAUGUUUGGAGUAAAAAUGAGAACAGAGAGGAUUCUUACAUUGGAGAAACAUAUAUUAGAGGAUAUUCCACAAGUAUUCAACAAAACCAAAGGAAGAUGAAGAUUUUUGUUUUUCUUGUUUCUGAAUAGUUUUUUUUUGUGGAACUGAUAAAUAGUAGAGAAUUUUUUUUAAACAUUUUAUUUUCUGUCUUUUAGUCAUACUCAACCUAUAUGGCCAUUAUUAUCUAAUAGCAGGAUCUCAUAACACGGAAAACAAAAAACGUUUAUAGAAAUACAUAGAAUCUCGAACACACCUCCGGAUGCGACGAUGACGAUUAAAGUGUUUCUAAACGUU
rnacentral:lncRNA from 1 species